rnacentral:rRNA from 1 species
CCUACGGGGGGCAGCAGUGAGGAAUAUUGGUCAAUGGACGAGAGUCUGAACCAGCCAAGUAGCGUGAAGGAUGACUGCCCUAUGGGUUGUAAACUUCUUUUAUAUGGGAAUAAAACGUUCCACGUGUGGGAUUUUGUAUGUACCAUAUGAAUAAGGAUCGGCUAACUCCGUGCCAGCAGCCGCGGUAAUACGGAGGAUCCGAGCGUUAUCCGGAUUUAUUGGGUUUAAAGGGAGCGUAGGUGGAUUGUUAAGUCAGUUGUGAAAGUUUGCGGCUCAACCGUAAAAUUGCAGUUGAAACUGGCAGUCUUGAGUACAGAAGAGGUGGGCGGAAUUCGUGGUGUAGCGGUGAAAUGCUUAGAUAUCACGAAGAACUCCGAUUGCGAAGGCAGUUCACUGGACUGCAACUGACACUGAGGCUCGAAAGUGUGGGUAUCAAACAGGAUUAGAUACCCCUGUAGUC